rnacentral:lncRNA from 1 species
AUGAAUUGGCAGGAGGCUUUGUUGCACGUGGUCUCUCAGAAACUCAGGCUGUUGGAAGUUGCACCAUCUUGUAAUUGCACCCAGUGGCAAAGAGCAACCAAAGAACCAAACGAAGACCCAGAUCUACUGUUAGCUGAAGCUCAGCGAAGAACCACAGAUCGUGAGGCCAGACUGUAGGAACUCAACGUCAGGAUUCUUAUGUACGGUCCCAGGAGAACUCCAGAAGGACUUGGAGAACACAGACAACUUCUGCAGAUGCACCACGACAAUGGCUCUCACUUUCUGUGUUAGCUGUUAUCUCAGUGUCACAUUGAUAACAAUGGUAGUAAAAGAAGUAAACACUUACCCAGUAUUUAAGAGGUGCCUGGCCAUUCUAAGAGCUUAUUUACUUUGGUUUAUUUAAUCCUCAUGUACAAGAUGAUGAGGUACAUUUUCUACUGUACCCACUUUACAAGUAAGAAAAUGGAGGCCCAUAUCAGGUGAGUAAUUUGCCUACAUCUGGUAAAAUUUGUAGUUAUGACUAUAUGACCUGCUGAUACUUAUAUUUAUAAUUCUUUUUAAUAUAUAUUUAUAAUUUGUAACGUGUUUGUUUAACUGCUUAAUUUUAUUUUUAUUUUAUUUUAUUUUAUUUU